rnacentral:rRNA from 1 species
CCUACGGGUGGCAGCAGUGAGGAAUAUUGGUCACUGGACGAGAGUCUGAACCAGCCAAGUAGCGUGAAGGAUGACUGCCCUAUGGGUUGUAAACUUCUUUUAUAUGGGAAUAAAACGUUCCACGUGUGGGAUUUUGUAUGUACCAUAUGAAUAAGGAUCGGCUAACUCCGUGCCAGCAGCCGCGGUAAUACGGAGGAUCCGAGCGUUAUCCGGAUUUAUUGGGUUUAAAGGGAGCGUAGGUGGAUUGUUAAGUCAGUUGUGAAAGUUUGCGGCUCAACCGUAAAAUUGCAGUUGAUACUGGCAGUCUUGAGUACAGUAGAGGUGGGCGGAAUUCGUGGUGUAGCGGUGAAAUGCUUAGAUAUCACGAAGAACUCCGAUUGCGAAGGCAGUUCACUGGACUGCAACUGACACUGAGGCUCGAAAGUGUGGGUAUCAAACAGGAUUAGAUACCCUUGUAGUC